AUUGCGGGAACGGCGCGCGAAGUCUUCACUGCAGUUGCGCAAAGGACUUAUCCAGUUUAAACAGCGACUGCCUUUAAGUAAAAACAUUCAGCACCAUGAGUUUGUUGAUCAUAUAUUUUAUCAUUUUUCCUACUGCCACAAAGUAACAAACGGCCAGGUUAAGAUAAGCUGAUCUAACGGUACACUUCUGUAAUGCUUUUAAUACAAAUACAACAUAUUAACAAUUUUACUCACCUCUAUAUUUCCUUCUUUGUACUUGAACUAUAAUAUUCGUGCGGAAUUUCUUACAACUUCUGAAUAGAGAAAAACUUACAGAUGCAUAUGGUACGAUCCUGUUGUGUUCCGCCUAAAGCCGCCCCUCUACAAAAUGUGUGGGUUAAAUUAGUGUUCCGCGUUGCCACUGUCUAAUAACGGAUGUCAAAAAAGAACGAUAGCAAAAAUGUGUUAUGUCAAAAUUAUUUCAUACUCCACAUUUAGGGGGGCCACAAGGGCGUCCAAAAUUGUUGUCACAGGGGCACUGGCCCCCGCCAGAACCGCUAGUGGGACCAGCUCGGCUUGUUACUUUGUAAUAAAGUAUAUUUUUAAUUCACAAGCUCCGGUUUCUAAGAUAUAUUUUUAAUAAUGUGUAUUUCCACAACAAAGAUCACUGACGUCAUGAUUUGACCUGGUAUUUUCCGAGUUCCCAGUUAUCUUGAACGCACCAUAACUGUUACCUACUCAUGUCGCUGACUCAGGCCGUUUUCAAAUGGAUUCGUUAAACCACACUCCGUAAACACAUUGUAACGUAAAACGGUUAGACAUAAGUGGUAGUUACCUAGCAAGUCAGUUAUUUUAAGUAAAUUAAUUAAUAAGCGUGGUCCCCAUUGCUUUUGCUCUUUAGUUUUCUCCAAAAUGAAGAGAAAGAAGGACAUCAUGUCCUUCUUCCAAAGAAAAGACAAGGCAGACAGUGAGACAAAGCCAGAUGGUUCAGCAGUAGAGAGAGCAGAGAGCCUGCAGAGAGAGAGCAGGAAGACUUGUCCAUUGGAUAGCCUGAGAGUGAAGGCAUAGUAGAGCAGGAGAGUGAGAGUGAGACACCAACAGAGGAGCCGCGUGUGUCCACAAGCAGUGGACCGUCAGACAUCACCAAAUCCCGGGAGGAACCACCGGUGCAACCAAUGAUGAACAUAUACCCAAUAACUCUAAUGGGGGACCAGAGGAGGAGCUUCAAGGCGGCCUGGUACCAUAUCCACCCCUGGCUUGAAUAUUUUAAAAAAUCAGACUCUGUGUUUUGUUACGCCUGCAGGCAUUUUAGCCCUCCCAAAGUCUGAGACUGCAUUUGAUUCACAAUUGGGUUUUAACAACUGGAAGAAGGAAACUUACAAAGAGGGGGAUUUGCAAUUCAUGCAAGGUCUGAGCGGCACAAACAAGCAAUGAUUACAUGGAGAGACUAUCAGAAAGCUGUAAAAAGUAAUACAACACUGGUAUAUGCCCUAAACAAGGAACACAACAAACAGGUUCAAGAAAAUCGGGACUAUAUUAAAACAAUAGGAGAAGUACUACUACUUACAGCCGCACAAAACAUUGCACAGAGGACAUGAUGAGUCUGCAGAGUCAGAUAACAAAGGGAACUUCAUGGCAAUCCUAGAAACAAUAGCUAAGCAUGACGCAACUGUGAAAAAAAGGGUGACUUCCAUUCAUAAUGCAAAAUAUACAAGCAAAGGAAUUCAGAAUGAGGUUCUGAGUUGUUUGGCAGAAAUGGUUCGAACAAAAAUUACAGAAGAAGUGAGACAGUGAGGUCUUCAGCAUAAUGGCAGACGAAACAAAAGAUGUAAAAAAUAUAUAUUUAAAAAAAGGAGCAGAUAUGUCUAGUACUCAGGUACUAUUUCAGAGGAGCUGUCCAUGAGAGCUUUCUCCACUUUGAAUCUGCUGAUUGACUAGAUGCAGCAGGGCUUACUGACAGAAUCAUACACAUAUUAGAAAGUCAUGGUCUUGAAUACAAAACCAACCUAGUAGGCCAAGCAUAUGACGGUGCUUCCAUUAUGAGUGGCAAGCAUUCAGGCGUCCAGGCACGCAUUGAAGAACAAGCAAAGCCUUUUACAUCCACUGCAGUGCACACUGUCUAAACUUAGUUUUAGUGGACACAGUCAAAGCUGUCCCUGAGGUCGGACAGUUCUUCUCCUUACUAGAAAGACUUUACGUCUUCACAUCUGGGUCAUAUGUGCAUCAAAAAUGGCUUAGCAUACAAAAAGAGAUGUACCCAGGUGCACCUGGAGAGCUUCAGAGACUAAGUGACACUAGCUGGGCAUGUCGAUAUAUGGCUCUACAUACUAUUAUGGAUAGAUUACCUGCCAUUAAGCGAGUCCUGCAAGAUAUAGUCCAAGAACACAAUGGUGACAGAUCUGUUGAGGCACGAGGUCUGCUUGCACAGAUAGAUUUACAAUUCAUUGUGUGCCGUGUUACACUCCAUAAAGUGUUUGGAGAAGCAGAAUUUCUAUCAGAUAUGCUACAGUCUUCAUCACUUGACCUGUUAAAGGCUGUUGAUUUAGUUGAAGCCUUAGUUCAAACUUUGAAUGACUACAGGGAUGAGUCAUUUUUUGAUGACCUAUGGAAUGAAGUGUUGAACACAGCUGAGCAAUGUGAUACUGCAAUACACCCCCCUGCAAAACGACCAAAAAAGCUAAGCUUCAAUUUAAUGGAGUCUGUGUACUCAGUACAGUGGGUCAGAGGUCAGAUUCAGAACAAGAAAAAGGCAGUUUUGGUACAACCCUGUUUUAGCUCAUAUGCUCAGUGAGCUUAACAGAAGGUUCCCUAUCAAACACUGUGACAUAAUGAAUGGCAUCCAAACUUCUCAAAGACAAGUUCCGGUUUCCAUUUGCUAGAAUGUAUGAAUCAAAUAUUCAUGACUUGGACAUGAACUACAGCAGCUCAGAAGAAUUUUAGAAAGGAAAAUACAGUGGCGUGCAGAGACCCUCCAGUGUAGUACAUUUUUACAUUUACAUUUAAGUCAUUUAGCAGACGCUCUUAUCCAGAGCGACUUACAAAUUGGUGCUUUCACCUUAUGACAUCCAGUGGAACAGCCACUUUACAAUAGUGCAUCUAGGUCUUUUAAGGGGGGGGGGGAGGGGGAGAAGGAUUACUUUAUCCUAUCCUAGGUAUUCCUUAAAGAGGUGGGGUUUCAGGUGUCUCCGGAAGGUGGUGAUUGACUCCGCUGUCCUGGCGUCGUGAGGGAGUUUGUUCCACCAUUGGGGGAAGAGCUGGCAUUAUUCAUUGAGCCUUAUAAAUAACUUUUCUUUGCGCUCUUUAAACUGUGCAAGAUAACUGUUUCAAUCCCUGUUAGUACUGCUUCUUGUGAAAUACAUUUUUUCUGCACUAAAACUGGUGAAAACGUAUCUCAGGUCUACAAUGUCAGAUGACAGAUUAAACAAUUUAGAUGUAUUAAGUAUUGAGUCAAGGAGGGCAAAGGCUUUGAGUCUAGAUUAAUUUGCUGAUCUUUUUGCAAAAAAACACAAAAACCGGAGAAUACAGUUGAUGUGACCUGAUACUGAAUAUGUAAUGCAAAUGAAAAUUAUAAUGGAAAUGCAAAUAAAUUGUUGAAUGAU